rnacentral:rRNA from 1 species
CGAGUUAACGUUGGCGGCGUGCCUAAUACAUGCAAGUCGAGCGGGGCUGUUUGCUGGAAGCCUUCGGGCGGAAAGCUUGCAGCCUAGCGGCGGACGGGUGAGUAACGCGUGGGUAACCUGUCCUGAAGUACGGGAUAACAGUUCGAAAGGGCUGCUAAUACCGUAUGUGGUCAAGGGGAGUUCGCUUUCUUUGACUAAAGGUGAAAACCGCUUCAGGGUGGGCCCGCGUCCCAUUAGCUAGUUGGUAGGGUAAUGGCCUACCAAGGCGACGAUCGGUAGCUGAUCUGAGAGGAUGAUCAGCCACACUGGAACUGAGACACGGUCCAGACUCCUACGGGAGGCAGCAGUGGGGAAUAUUGGACAAUGGGCGCAAGCCUGAUCCAGCCAUGCCGCGUGGGUGAAGAAGGCCUUCGGGUUGUAAAGCCCUUUUGUCCGGAAAGAAAAGCACGGGAUUAAUACCCUCGUGUGAUGACGGUACCGGAAGAAUAAGCACCGGCUAACUUCGUG